UGCCGCCGCGGACACACCGGCUGGCGAGGAGAGGGAGGAGAAUAAGCGCGGCUCCCGAGGCUGCCUGGGGAAGGGAGGCUGCGGGGUGUGGACUAAACCACUGCGCUCCACACCCACACGUCCCUCUCCUCCCGGGGUAGGGAGAUGGGGACGGCGAUAUGAGAAGGCAGCCAGAGGGCUGGAAAUCAGGCUUGCUGCAGGCAGUGCCCCCCCCGCCUCCCCUCUACAGUUGGGUACACUUGGGAGUGAAACCCUUGAAAGGAUCUUCCCUAGAGAUUUCUCUGCUGAAUCGCUCUGUGGAAAAGGAAAGGUGGCAAAUAAAAUAAAAUAAAAUAAAAUGGAUCACUCGUGACCUACGAAGUCUGUAGCACUGGCGGGCUUAUUCAGCCGAAAACGGGGAAGAAGCAACCUUCCCGCGCCCCUCCCCUGCCCCCGCUCCCGCCGUCCCCCAGGACCUCGGCCGCCGCGCAGCUCCCUUCAGCGGGAAAGUUUGGCGGAGCCGGCCGCCACCCGCGGCGGCUGGUGGAGGGAGGGAGACGAGAGGAGGGGCCGCGACACCCCCAAGGAACACGGGAGAACAGCCCCUCUCCCCUACACGCACAACAGAGGCUGUCAAACGGCAGAGUAAACCCCACUCAAAGCCACCACAGGAAAAGAGCUGGGAACACGAAGGAAGGAGCAACGUGAGCGAAAACGGAAUUUAGAAGUGGCCGGUGCCAGGACAGGGCCUUGGGGACGGACACACCAGGCAGAGGCACCCCGGGCACCGGGCGGGUGGGCGGGCGGUGAGAGGCCAGCGGCGGCCCCGAGGUAACGGUCAGGCCGGCCGUUGCCGCCGCGCGCCGUCCGCGGGCCAGCGGGAGCGCCGCACGGUGAAGCUCGAGCGCCCCCUACUGGCAAAGAGCGAGCAGCGGCCACCACCUCCCGCCCGGCGUCGCCUUUUGUUGCGGCGGAGCGCGGCGGGGGGGCCGGAGGGGGAGCUCCCGCCGGCCGCGGCGGCGAGUGCCCGGGUACUCCGGCGGCCCCGGGGAGCCUCCUGUCGGGCGGGCCUCGUGGAAAGCGCGGGUGUUGUGACAGGAAUGACUGAAAUUAAGGCGCUGCCGAAGACCAAGAAGCUGUUGCAGUAGAGGAUACGUCUUUUCUCCACCAGAGAACCCGAAACAAGUAGUGCUAUACGUAACUUUUUCAAACAAACCUGUUCAAAUACGCUGGUAGCAUAUUCAGCUAGCUUGUAUUUUCAGUUUGUAGAGGGACAUUGAAGUCAAGGAUCAUUUUAACACAACAGCGUUAGAGAAAAACGAGCUGGUGAAUAAGAGUGCGGGAGCCGUGCUUUGGUGCACUACGACGGGCAAGGCUGUCUAAAGAGAAGGGACUCACCUACUUACACGUUAACCAACUAGUCCCAACUAUUCUUCUCUCAUCAAGUCUCUUUGUUGCUUUUUUAUUUUGCAUAUAGUAGACGUUUAUUCUUUUAAUAAGUUCUUCACAUUAAGGAUCUGAACUGUAUUUCUGCAAAAUGUACGCUGUCCACACAUAGUCCAAUAAAUGGUCUGCAAGAUA